rnacentral:rRNA from 1 species
GGGGGCUGGCCCCUUAGCUUAGCGGCGGACGGGUGAGUAAUGCUUAGGAAUCUGCCUAUUAGUGGGGGACAACAUUCCGAAAGGGAUGCUAAUACCGCAUACGCCCUACGGGGGAAAGCAGGGGAUCUUCGGACCUUGCGCUACAAGAUGAGCCUAAGUCGGAUUAGCUAGUUGGUGGGGUAAAGGCCUACCAAGGCGACGAUCUGUAGCGGGUCUGAGAGGAUGAUCCGCCACACUGGGACUGAGACACGGCCCAGACUCCUACGGGAGGCAGCAGUGGGGAAUAUUGGACAAUGGGGGGAACCCUGAUCCAGCCAUGCCGCGUGUGUGAAGAAGGCCUUUUGGUUGUAAAGCACUUUAAGCGAGGAGGAGGCGCUCUAGGAUAAUACCCUAGAUGCGUGGACGUUACUCGCAGAAUAAUCACCGGCUAACUCUGUGCCAGCAGCCGCGGUAAUACAAAGGGUGCGAGCGUUAAUCGGAUUUACUGGGCGUAAAGCGCGCGUAGGUGGCUAAUUAAGUCAAAUGUGAAAUCCCCCAGCUUAACUUGGGAAUUGCAUUCGAUACUGGUUAGCUAGAGUAUGGGAGAGGAUGGUAGAAUUCCAGGUGUAGCGGGGAAAUGCGUAAAGAUCUGGAGGAAUACCGAUGGCGAACGCCCCCAUCUGGCCUAAUACUAACACUGAGGUGCGAAAGCAUGGGGGGCAAACAUGAGUAGAUACCCGGGGGAUCCAUCCCGUAAACAAGUCUACAAACCGUUGGGGGUUUGAAGUUUAAUGGGCAACUAAUCCGAUAUUAGACCCCUGGGGGAGACGGCCC